GACGAACGCUGGCGGCGUGCUUAACACAUGCAAGUCGAACGGAAAGGCCCUGCUUUUGUGGGGUGCUCGAGUGGCGAACGUGUGAGUAACACGUGAGUAACCUGCCCUUUACUUUGGGAUAACUUCAGGAAACUUGGGCUAAUACCGGAUAGGAGCUCCUGCUGCAUGGUGGUGGUUGGUAAGUUUCGGCGGUUGGGGAUGGACUCGCGGCUUAUCCGCUUGUUGGUGGGGUAGUGGCUUACCAAGGCUUUGACGGGUAGCCGGCCUGAGAGGGUGACCGGCCACAAUGGGACUGAGAGACGGCCCAGACUCCUACGGGAGGCAGCAGGGGGGAAUAUUGCACAAUGGGCGGAAGCCUGAUGCAGCAACGCCGCGUGCGGGAUGACGGCCUUCGGGUUGUAAACCGCUUUCGCCUGUGACGAAGAGUGAGUGACGGUAAUGGGUAAAGAAGCACCGGCUAACUACGUG
rnacentral:rRNA from 1 species